rnacentral:rRNA from 1 species
GCUCAGGACGAACGCUGGCGGCGUGCCUAAGCUUAUGCAAGUCGAACGCGAACGGCUCCUUCGGGAGCCUAGUAGAGUGGCAAACGGGUGAGUAACGCGUGGGUAACGUACCCUGAUCCUGGGAAUAACCCUCGGAAACGAGGGCUAAUACCGAAUGUGGCGAACGACCGGUUGGUCGCUCGCUAAAGGUGGCCGCUUCUAUGCUGCCGGGUUGGGAUCGGCCCGCGUCCCAUUAGCUAGUUGGUGAGGUAACGGCUCACCAAGGCCACGAUGGGCAGCCGGCCUGAGAGGGUGUACGGCCACACUGGCACUGAGACAAGGGCCAGUCCCCUAUGGGAGGCGCAGGCGGGAAUAGUUCACAAUGGGCGAAAGCCUGAUGACGCGACGCCGCGUGAGCGAAGAAGACCUUCGGGUUGUAAAGCUCUGUCAGGAGGGAAGAAGGCUCUACGGGUUAAUAGCCCGUGGAAUUGACGGUACCUCCAGAGGAAGCCCCGGCUAAAUACGUGCCAGCAGCCGCGGUAAUACGUAUGGGGCAAGCGUUGUCCGGAUUUACUGGGCGUAAAGGGCGCGUAGGCGGUUUGUUAAGUCGAAGGUGAAAUCCUCGGGCUCAACUCGAGAAUUGCCUUCGAUACUGGCAAACUAGAGUGGCGGAGAGGAAACGCGGAACUCUUGGUGUAACGGUGGAAUGUGUAGAUAUCACGAGGAACACCGGUGGCGAAGGCGGCUUUCUGGACGCACACUGACGCUCAGGCGCGAAAGCGUGGGUAG